rnacentral:rRNA from 1 species
AUUGAACGCUGGCGGCAUGCCUAACCCAUGCAAGUCGAACUAGUGGCGGACGGGUGAGUAAUGUCUGGGAAACUGCCUGCUGGAGGGGGAUAACUACUGGAAACGGUAGCUAAUACCGCAUACCAUCGGAUGUGCCCAGUUGGGAUUAGCUAGUAGGUGGGGUAAAGGCGCACCUAGGCGACGAUCCCUAGCUGGUCUGAGAGGAUGACCCGCCACACUGGAACUGAGACCGUGUCCAGACACCGCCUGGAGGCAGGAGUGGGGACUAUUUCGCAAUGGGCGCAAGGGUGCUGCAGCCCUGACGCGUGUAAGAAGAAGGCCUUCGGGUGGUAAAGUACUUUCAGCGGGGAGGGGUUGCCCGGAGAAGAAGCACCGGCUAACUCCGUGACAGCAGCCGCGGUAAUUC